rnacentral:rRNA from 1 species
GAUGAACGCUGGCGGCGUGCCUAAUACAUGCAAGUCGAGCGAACAGACGAGGAGCUUGCUCCUCUGACGUUAGCGGCGGACGGGUGAGUAACACGUGGAUAACCUACCUAUAAGACUGGGAUAACUUCGGGAAACCGGAGCUAAUACCGGAUAAUAUAUUGAACCGCAUGGUUCAAUAGUGAAAGACGGUUUUGCUGUCACUUAUAGAUGGAUCCGCGCCGCAUUAGCUAGUUGGUAAGGUAACGGCUUACCAAGGCAACGAUGCGUAGCCGACCUGAGAGGGGGAUACGGCACAACUGGAAUGAGACACGGUCCAGACUCCCAAGGGAGGCAGCAGUAGGGGAUCUUUCGGAAUUGGGGAAAGCCCUGCGGGGCAAACCCGGGUGGAGUAUUAAAGUUUUUCGGUCCUAAAACCCUGUUAUUAGGGGAAAAAAAAAGUGUAAAGAAACAUGCCCCUCUUGGAGGGUCCCAAUCAAAAAAGCCACGCUAACUACCGG